CCCUUAGAUGUUCUGGGCUGCACGCGCGCUACACUGAUGCGUUCAACGAGUUUUUAGCUUAUCUGAUAAGAUUGGCUAAUCUUCUGAAAACGCAUCGUGAUGGGGAUAGAUUAUUGUAAUUAUUAAUCUUCAACGAGGAAUGCCUAGUAAGCGCAAGUCAUCAGCUUGCGUUGAUUACGUCCCUGCCCUUUGUACACACCGCCCGUCGCUCCUACCGAUUGAAUGGUCCGGUGAAGCGUUCGGACCGUGGCCUUUGGACGGUUCGCCGUCUGUUGGCUGCGGGAAGUUCGUUAAACCUUAUCAUUUAGAGGAAGGAGAAGUCGUAACA
rnacentral:rRNA from 1 species